rfam:Nicotiana attenuata strain TT chromosome 12, whole genome shotgun sequence.
UUGACAGAUUAUUGUAUUCGACUGUAUUCACGGUGUGAAACAGGGGAUUACACUGUUUUUAAACGAAAAGUGAAUCAAUUAACAUAAUAGACUCCU